rnacentral:lncRNA from 1 species
AUGAAUAAAUAAUGAAGAUUAGGAUAAUGACUUAUUUCAAUGAAUGAAUGUUACAACUUGUCCGAUUAUUGCAAUUGAAUAAGUAUUACAAACUGAGCAUUUAACUGGAGAUUAACCAAACAUUUUUGCUAAGGUUGUUCCAAGCUAGUAGCUCCAAAAAGAAAAACAAAAGUUUAUAUAUAUAUAUAUAUAUAUAUAAUAUAUAUGUGUGUGUAAUGGACGCAUGCAAGGUUUUCACGUAUGAAUUGGAUCUGGACUUGAAACAACAGGAGAACCUUUUGGAAGCUUGAGCAACAGUAGUUGCUGGUCCUGUAAUGGCCUGCAGGCUUCUCCAAAUUGAGAAGACGCAACCAGAAAGAACAAUAUCAGAAACAGAACCAUGAAGAGGAUCCUUCUGUCACUGCAACAAGACAAAGACAUAUCUGUACGUAAUGAAUAUUGAAGUUAUCUGUCUGUGUUUUUGUUGUCUUGAAAUGGUGAAACAGAAAGUGAUUGGCAGAGAAAAUGAGAGAUUG